CCCCGCGCGGACCCGCGCCCAGCGCCCUGAACUCGCGCACUCACCCGCCGGUCCCGCGGACUGGCGCUCAGCCCCGGGAGAGCCUCACGUCAUGGUGUUGCGGCGCGCUGAUUGGGCGCACCCGACGCUCGGCCCGCCCCGCCGCCUUCUUGGCCUCUCCGCGCGUACACCCUGCUCGCGGCCUUGCGAUUGGCGCGUGCGCGCACAUCGCCCCGCCCCGCGCACGCCGCACGUCCGCCCCGCCCGCCGUCCCCGGCGCGACCAGAGCGCCUGACGCUGGGGGGCCGUGUGGGCCCUGACUUCCGGAGGGCUGGGCCCUGGUCCUCCGCUACCGCGUGCGCCCCUUAAAGACCCCUGCCCGCCGCCCAGGACGGAUGGCGACCCCGGCCCUAGCCUGUCCCCAGACCCUGGACCAAGGCCCCGGCCCUGCCCCGAACCCCUCAUCCCAUCCCCGGGACCCAAGCCCCGGCCCUGGCCACCCAGGACACGCCCUGGCCCUUCCCCGAACUCCCACCCCACAGCUGGGAUCAAGGUCCCGGCCCUGCCCCGAACACCCCACCCCACACCCAGGACCCAGGCCCCGGCCCUGCCCCGAACUCCCACCCCACACCUGGGACCAAGGUCCCAGCCCUACCCCGAAUGCCACACCCCACACCCAGGACACAGGCCCCGGCCCUGCCCCGAACUCCCACCCCACACCUGGGAUCAAGGUCCGGGCCCUGCCCGGAACUCCCCACCCGACACCCGGGACCCAGGCCCCGGCCCUGCCCCAAACUCCCACCCCACACCCGGGACCAAGGCCCCGGCACUGCCCCGAACGCCCCACCAGGGACCCAGGCCCCAGCCCUGUCCCGAACUCCCGCCCCACACCUGAGACGAAGGUCCCGGCCCCGAAGUCCCAACCCCACACCCAGGACCCAGGCCCCGGCCCUGCCCUGAACUCCCCACCCUACACACGUAACCAAGGCCCCGGCCCUGCCCCGAACCCCCUCCCCACACCCCUAACCAAGGCCUCGGUUCAGCCCCGGAAUCCCCAACUCCACACCUGGGAUCAAGGCCCCGGCCCCACGUUUCCUAGAGGCGCUGGGUUCGGGCCCACGUUGCAACGAGUCAGAUGCUCUUGGUAGCUCAGGGAGGCGUUCACACUCCUGCCGUUUCCGUGAGGAUGGUGACGACUCCGAACUAUAGCAGCAUACUCUACCUACCCUUGAUCAGUUUAUGGAAGAAAAGGAAACCAAACAAAUGGUUUUGCUGUUGUUACUGCUCACCUGGUUUGAUUCAGUGGCGUCGCGGUUGGUCUCUGCUACAGUCCAUUACUCACAGUGCCAGCACACGUUUCCUUAAAAAGCCUCAUCACCAUCCUCCUGCAAUGUGACCUUCACCGGCUCCCUGUUGCCUGCCCAGGAGGAUAAAGUCCAAGUUCUUCUGUGGAAAGAAGACCCUUCACACGCUAGUCCCAGCCUGUCUUCAGCCCAGCCCCCUAUGUUUCCUUUCCUGCCUUAUCCUAAGACAUCCUUACCUUCCAAUCACACUCACUUUCCGAGCAUUUUUGAAGGUAUUGAGGGAGUUGAGUCUACACUUGAAUAAAAUACAGACUUUACACUCCAGACUGCACAGUUGACAGAUCUAGAUUUAUUACAAGAAGUCCAUGAUGGAGACAGCUCAGGAAUGGAAGAGACUCAAGCCCAAAGAUGAGAAGAACCUCUGUCCUGGAAGUCGGUUCUCUGUCUAGUGGAACAGCCUCUGCAAAGUGUAGCACACGAUGAGUUAAUAUAUCUCACUUUUAGAAAGAAAGAUACUGACAUGCCACCGAUGUGGUUUGGAUGUGCGUCCCUCCACCCACAGUCCCAUGCUAGAAGUGUCACUCAUAUUCAGCUUUGAAUCAGUGGGGAACCCAUACAGGGAGAUCAUAAUAAAUAUGGAAAAUUCUGAUAAUUUUGUGAUUCCAUGAGAUAAGAAAAGAACUUCCCUCUCCUGGAAAUCUCACUCUGAGGGGAGCCAGCUGACAUGUCUUAGGCCUCCCUGCACCCCUGGGAGAGGCCCACAUGGAGAGGAGCCCACAGCCAAGGAGGCCUUUUGGAAGUGAACCCUCCAGCCUCACUCCAGCUUUCA